CCUACGGGGUGCAGCAGUGGGGAAUAUUGCACAAUGGGGGAAACCCUGAUGCAGCGACGCCGCGUGAGUGAAGAAGUAUUUCGGUACGUAAAGCUCUAUCAGCAGGGAAGAAAAUGACGGUACCUGACUAAGAAGCCCCGGCUAACUACGUGCCAGCAGCCGCGGUAAUACGUAGGGGGCAAGCGUUAUCCGGCUUUACUGGGUGUAAAGGGAGCGUAGACGGCAGCGCAAGUCUGGAGUGAAAUCCCAUGGCUUAACCAUGGAACUGCUUUGGAAACUGUGCAGCUAGAGUGCAGGAGAGGUAAGCGGAAUUCCUAGUGUAGCGGUGAAAUGCGUAGAUAGUAGGAGGAACACCAGUGGCGAAGGCGGCUUACUGGCGCCCGACUGACGCUGAAGCACGAAAGCGUGGGUAUCGAACAGGAUUAGAUACCCUAGUAGUC
rnacentral:rRNA from 1 species